rnacentral:lncRNA from 1 species
CUCACAGCCUGGUUCCUGGAGCUCCUAGAAGAUAAAUCGAGGGGAACUCAGGCUGCAGACUGCAAGCACAGCCCCAGCACCCCAGUGCUGUCAGGAGGGUGAGCCUGACUCUGUGAGCUCCCCACUAUUUUGUGUGGAUGGUCCUUUCUGUGCUCAUUCAGGGCCCUCAUCUUUCUCCUGGCAGGGCCUGGAUCUGGCCCUUUUGCUGGCCUGAGAAACUUUCAGAUCAAGAGUUUAUAUCCCUGAUAUGGAAGACAAGGAUAUGAAGGGACCCACAUCUGGCCCCACAUGCCCAAGGCCUCCUGGGAAAAAAGCAAUAGCUACACAAAAUGCAAUGGGGCCCACGUGUCCUGUCCUAGGGUGAGAAAAAAGCAAUAGCUACACAAAAUACAUUGGGGCCCAUGUGUCCUGGGCUGACCUGAGGCCACUUCCUUAAUCCAAGGACCUAUCUCCAGGAGACACUGGAAGAGCAAAUGAGGGGAUUCCAUCCACCCACCUUUCCCUGCACUUCCCAUGGCUGACAGAAGGUGCAGGGUGGGGUUCGGUCCUGUGUGUUUGGUGUGGCUCCCUCUGCUGAGCUGAGGACGCCCUUCAGACCCAGGUUGCUACCUCCCUGAGACCCAGGAGGCAGAAGUAAGGAGGCACUACAUGGACAACCCUGCAUGGGAUUCCCACGGCUGACAGAAGUACAAGGAUGCGCCACAUGCAGCCACAGAUCCUGGGACUUCCCAAGGCUGAGAUCUCCACUGAUCUGGAGUCCAAGGACCCCUGAGUCCUCCCUCUUCUUCUUCUCCUUGACUCCUGGCAGGGCUGUUCACCACCCCCCUGCUGACUUGAGUUUCAGUCCCUCGGAUUCCUGAGGCCAAAUGUGGAGGCCCCUCAGUCUCAGACAGUUGUUAUUAGCAGAAUUCUGGAGCCAUGGUGUCUCAAUCAAUCCAAUUUUCCUGGUGUCCUGAUAUUACCCCUGGGCUACUGGCUUCGUGUUUUGAGUUGAUUUUGGGAGUAGAGCACAGCAGCCUGGGCUUGAUUGUCACUUUGGCAGCUACAGCAUUCACUGCAGCUGUGAACGGUAGCAGUGAAAGCAUACAUCAAUGACUUGCUCCUGACGAGAAUGGGAAUGCUUCUAACAUUUCACAUUCAAGAGAAGGAGCCUUGGAGAAUUCGUUGAAUAAUUGCCCGUAUUUUGGGAUUAUUUGGAAGAGUUAAUAUGGUGAUUCGUUUUCCCUGACCACUUGGGGGAACUGACCCACAAAACUGCCUGCCUUAGAACGGUAGAGGGUGGAUUGAGCUUUAAAUACAUUUUCAGUUUGUGGACGUACCAUUGGUUUUAUCCAUUCACCAAUUGGAAAAAGUAUUGAUUGUCAAUUUCAAAUAAGCUGCUAUAUAUGUUUUUGUGUACGUGAUUUUGUGUGUAUGAACCUGUUUCCAAUUUUCCUUGAUAAAACCUAGGAGUACAAUUGCUGUGUGUAAUGGUAAGUCUAAGUUUUGCUAUAUUAGAAAUAGCCAAAGCCCCUUCUAGAGUGAAUGUGUUCUUUUUCUUCUCUACCAGCAAUGAAAGAGAAUGCCACAUCUUUUGUACAAUUUGGUAUUUUCAGGUUGUUGCAUUGUAUCAAUUGUAACAGGUGGGUAGAAGAAUGUUACUGCUGUUUACAUUUGUAUUUUUAUUGAAUAAUUAUGGUAAUCAUCUUUUCAUAUGCUUUUUUGUGAUCUGUGUAUCUUCAUUGGUGAAGUCUUGAAAUCAUUUACUAUUUUAUUGGACUCUUCAUUUUUAUGUGGUUGCAUGUUAUAAGGUGUUUAUUCAUUCAGUAUAUGAAUCCUUUAUCCGACACGGGGUUUACAAGUAUUUUCUCCCCAUUUUUGGCUUUUUUCCCCAUUCCUUUAAGUGUUUUUUUUUUUUUAGUAAACAUUUUAGAGUAAUUUUAAAUUUACAGAAAAGUUGCGAAGACAGUUAAGAGGGUUUUCCUAUACAUCAUGUCCAGUUUCUCCUAUUAUUAACAUCAUGCAAUAAUAUGAUACAUUCUUCAUAAUUCAUAAAUCAAUAUUCACCUGCACAUUCCUGUCAUUGUUUGAGGAUCCCAUCUAGGAUACCAUGCUACUUUAGUCUAAGCUGUGAUAGUUUCUCAGACUAUUCUUGUUUUUGAUGACUUUAACAGUUUUGGGGAGUAUCGAUCAGGCUAUUUGUGGAAUUACCCUCAUUUGGUAUUUGUCUGAGUUUUUUCAUAUAUAGACUUGAGUAAUGGCUUUGGGGUAGGAGACCAGAGAGGCGAAAUGCCAUUCUCAUUACACGAUAUUUUAGCAACAUGACUCAUCGCUGUUGAUGUUGACUGAUGAACUGGCUGAGGUAGUGUUGUCAGGAUUUCCCUCUGCAAGGUUAUUACAUUCCCCCCUUUCUGUAUUGUGCUUUAUAAAAGAAAGUCACUAAGGGCAGCCAUUGGGUAGUAGGGAAGUAUGGUCCACCUUCUUGGGAAGGGGUAGUAUUGACAUGAAUGAUUUGGGAUUCUUCUCAAUGGGAGAUUUGUUUAUUCUCCCCCAUUAUUUGUAUUUAUUUAACCUUCAAUUUGUCUCGGCUGAACUCAUGGUAAUUUAUUAUAUGUUUGGGGUUAUAAUUCAACACCACUUUUAUUUUGCUGCUCAGAUUGUUCCAUCUUUGUCCAUUGGAAGCUCUUUCAGUUGGCUCUGAUGUCCCCUUCACGUAACUGAGCCAUUACAUUUGUUUGUAGCUCUGUCUUACUUUAUGGUAUGACAAGAUGAUGCAGGCUCAUUUUUAUAUUUCCUGUUCCAGUCAUAGAAGAGUCAAUUUUCCAUGGUUUCUGCUUCCUUUUAUGGGAGAAGAGUAUUGGAAUGUGAGAGGUGGGUGCUUGGCAUGCUCAUUGUUCCUGAGGAUUUGUUAUUCCUAGCCACCUCAAUUCUCAGAGUAAAGAUAUAUAUUUUGGUAUAUUAACCUGUGUAUAUACACAUAUCUAUAAUCAGAAUUCUUAAACCCAGUCCCUGUGAGAAAUAGCUUUAGAAGCCAGACAAUACUGCUUCAGUACAGUUUCUUUUAACUUCGGUCCCAGAGACUAACUUCCACAGGUACUUAGGACAGCACCAUAUCCCCAGAUACUCAUUAGAGGUUGUUUCAUAGAUUUGUAACACAGUUAUAUUGUUUUGUCAUAUUCUAUACUCCACCUUGGCAUUCCUCGACCUCCUAAUUUUUUCAAUUUUGCAUACAUUGAGGUUUACUCUUUGUGCUUUAAGGUUUUAUGCUUUUUGACAAAUGCAUAAUAUAUUCCAUUUUUUGACAGCAUGUCAUCAACCAUGACAUGACAAAAUCAAUCAUUACAGUAGCCUAGAGAAUAGUUUCACCUGUCUAAUAAAUUCCUUCUGCUUAUCCUAGUCAUACCUUUUCCCCACCCCUGAUCCCUGGCCACAACAGGUAUUUUUACUGUCGUUAUAGUCUUGUCUUUCCAGAACGUCAAAUAAAUUGCAUCAUAUACUAUGUAGUCUUUUCGGACUGGCUUCUUUUACUUAGAAUUAAGCAUUUAAGAUUUAUUCAUGUUUUUGUGUGCCUAGAUAAGUAAAUAUUUUGGUUGAUGAAUAGUGUUCUGUUGUUGUUGGACCACAGUUUGUUUAUUCAUCUGUCUCUUGAAGAACAUCUUUGUUGUUUCCAGUUUUGGCCAAUUAUUAAAUAAGCUGCCACACCCAUUCAUAUGCAGGUUUUUUUUGUGGGCAUAAAUUUGCAAAUUAGUUCAAUGUAUACCUAGGAGUGUCAAGAAUUUGUUCAGCUUUGUAAAAAAAUCAACUGACAAACCAUCUUUGAAAGUGGCUGUACUACUUUGCAUUCCCAACAGCAACAAAUGAGAGUUCCUUGUUGCCAGGAAUUGGUAUUGUCAGUAUUUGGAUUUUGGACAUUCUAAUAAGUGUGUAUCUUUGUUAUUUAAUUCAUAAUUCUCUAAUAAAGAAUGACAUUGACUAUGUUGUCUUAUGCUUAUUUUUU